CGCACACCACCCCUACUUUCUCUCUCUAUCUCUCCUCCUUCCCUCUAGAACUCAUCAGCUAUCGCCGUCGCCGUCCAUCCGCCGUCGCCGUCCAUCCGCCGUCGCCGUCCAUCCGCCGUCGCCGUCCAUCCACCACCGGCGACCACCCACAACCCAAACCCCCUCUCUCUCUUUAUUGCAGCCGCCGGUAAACCGCUCUCCUCUGUCCUUUUCUUCAAUGGCUAAGCGUCUUUGAAUGGGCAACAACACCAGCUGCCACCGGUGAAAGCCUAGUGCCACCGACGCACAGAUCCGCGCCGCUCCUUGCCUCCUCGUCGAACCGGCCUCAACAUCAACAACAACGGCCAGCCUCCAUCCUUGUAUGCUGCCUCCUCUUCCAAUACCGAAGACCAAUGAUGACGCCUGUAACCACCUUACCGACCACGCAUUCAGCAACGACAACCUUCGUGCCACCAACCAACCAUGCAACCGACGAAAUCAGCCGACAAAAUCCCUCAAAACAACAACACCAUCGCCUCCGCCAGCUAUCCAAAUCAUCCUUCCUCUCUUCUCACCGGUCACGUACCCGCUAAAAUCAACAACCAGCGAGGUCUUUUGGCAAAUUCGGUCGUAAUUCGGUUUGACUUCUUGGACCCUUAAAUUGCCUAUCUUGUUUGCUUUGGUUUAUCUUGCAUGCAAAAAAAAUUGAUCUCUUAGAUCUAAAAAUCGUAACUUCGAAUUUGAUUCAAGUUGUUUAAUUAUGUGUUCAUCUCUGGAUUUGUUACAUGUAAAAAGCCCCAAGUUUAACUAAUCAGAAUUAACCCUAAUUCCGUAACUCAAUUUCUAAUUUAUGAAGCCUAUGUUGCAUUGUUAAUGAACUAGUGCAAAAUUACAAAUUUGAUGAUACUCCGUCCUAAAUGAAUUUCGGCGAUCCUCAAUGAUUUUGGGUUGUGUGCUUUUGUCUUUUGAAUUUAUGAUGGUGUUAUAUGGUAAUUUGAAUUGAUUAUUACCUAAUUUUUGUUCAAUAAUUGAUUUUGAAAAACUGUGAUUGCCCUAAUUUGUAUCCCCCUUCUAUUUAUGUUAAACCUAUGCUCGUUUAUUUAUUUCGAUUGAUAAAUUCAAAGACUAAUUGAUUUUCUUUUCUUUCCUUAAUGAUGACCAAUCUUUUCGUGGUAUCGAGACUACUCUAUUAUUGAUAAUUAUGGUAAACUCUAUUUUUAUUGGUAAUGAUUUGAAUAAUUUGAUUUUUUUCCUCUCCUCUCCUCUUAUAUUCCGACUAAUUCACAUGUUGAUUGACUUUUCUUUCCUUCUGUUUGUUUUACUGAUUUUACAUGGCAAUCUUUAUAUUUAAGGAAAAUCCCUUUGAUUGAUGAAAAAAAUAUAUUUUUCUUCCUUUCAUCAUGGUUAUCAUUGUGACCCCCUCCACUAUAUAAACAAUCUCUCUUCUCACUUAACAGACAGUUCUUUAAUUACCAUCAUUCUCUAAAACAAACAAAAAGAAUUAUUGAUUAUUUUAAUACAAGGCAAUUAUAUAUUUUCAAGAGUUCUUGGAUUUUCUUCGAAGCUUGUUGAAAGAAUCUUGUUGAAAGAAUCUUACAUAUCUCAUUAUUACAAGUGUUUGACUUUAAUUAUUCUUGUUGUCUCUUUUACUGUUGCUCACUGGGAUCUUCUACAGGAGUUGGAGAUCACGUCGAUAUGCCAUGAAGAUAGGAGGUUUAAUAGAGCUGUAGACGUUUUAGCUAAAGAAGGUAGAAAAAGGCAAGUACCUCAGUUUUUGAAAAAAUGGAUAGUUCCACCAUUGUUUGUUCGCAAGAUCAUUGCAGCAGACAAAGAGGGAACUUCUUUUGCUAACAUGGAUAUUGACUCUAAUAAUAAUAUGAUGGAGACUAGGAAAACAGCUUUUGUAAGGCAGCAUGAAGUGCCAGUAGCUAGUAAUGUGUGUGAUAUAUGUACUACUAGCAUUAUGUGUGUAUGUAUUACUAGUGACUUAGUCGAUGAUCCAAUAGGACCAUCUCCGUAGCUCUGUACUAUGUAUGAUGCAUAUUACGUAAUGAAUAAAUCCCUUGUUAACCAAAAAAAAAAUCAAAAUUUGAAAAAUAACAAUACAUCAAAGUAAUAGCAACCAAAAAAUAAAAACUUCAAACAUCCUAAUCACUGUUUUUGAUCUAUUGAAAAAAAAAAAAUUAUAUUCAAGAAUAUACUUUUUGAGGCACUCUGAUCAAUGAAAAACUGAAACCGAAUAUGUAAAGUACAAAAGUGAAGGGAUUGUUGUCAAGCAUAAAUCGUUGUGGACGAUGCAGAUAUGCCUGUCACAAUAGGUGUUCUUGUAACUUUUUUUCGAAGGAGUAAUUAUUUACUCUACAUACAAUGAUUAAUCACUCGCUUAUCAUUCAGAAAUUAAUUUGUGUUACUUUUUUUAAUCGUUUUAGUUGUUCGUUGCUUCGAACAGUUGAAUAUCAAUUUUAUGCAGUUUACCUUUUCAUUGUUUUUGACUUUUUUUUAAAGGCGUAUAUCAAUUCUGUUCUAUUAUUGUAUUCAUUCAUUAAAAUAAUUUGCAAACCACAGACAAAUGUCAAUUAGAAUUUUUUAGUUUAAAGCACUACAACAUUUUUGGCCUAAGGCCAAACCAAAUCUGGACAACAUUUAUAAAGUGUUGCCUAAAAUAGUUUUGUGCACGCUUUUAAAAUGUAAUCAUAAAUUUUAGCUUUAAGCCACGAUAAUUUUGUCAAUGCUUGUAAAGCGUACUUUUUGAUGUUAUAGGCUACACUUUAUAAGUGUUGUAUAUAAUUGGCAACGCCUUUUACAAAUAUGGUCGUACUUUUAGAAUGUGGCUAUUUGUAUUAUUUUAAAACAACAAUUUAUAAAUGUUAUAUAAAAUUUACACCAAAAUAUGAUAUUUUCUCUAAUAUUUUUGAUACUAAAAUAUUAUAUUCCCACCCAUAUAUAUUUUAUUCCCUUCAAUUUCUAAUUACCUAAAAAGAAAAAUCAGUAUUAAUAUUGAGCUGAUGAAAUGAUGAGGGUUCUUCUUCAAUUACACCAUCCCAUUUUGAAGAGAAAUAAGCCAUCGGUGUUGCUGAAAACCCAUUGUUGUUGCAUUUCAUCACCAUUGUUGAAAACCCGUGUACUCUAACCCAUCAGUGUUGCUGAAAAUCCAUGGGUGUUGCUGUAUUUCAUCACCAUUGCUGAAAACCUAUGUCAUACUCUUCGUACCAUAACCAUUGCUGAAAACCAUCGUGAUGUAUUCACUUGAAUGUUAGCAACUCAUGUUUAACUUAAAUUCAGGUGUAAUUGUUGAAUUUUGUUGUGAAUUAAACUUGUAAUCUUUAAAUUAAACAUAUCUUGGGUGUUGAUUAUUUGUUGAAACCUCAAAUUCCCAUUAUAUAUUGCCAUUGAUGUUGAAAUUAAGUAAAAAUUAGAAUUUAGGAUUUGAUUGAUUUGGGUAUCAUCCAUCCCCUAUUCUUUAUCUUGAGCCGGUGGUCUAUUGGAAACAGCCUCUCUACUUCUUCGGAGGUAACGGUAUGGACUGCUUACAUCUUACCCUCCCCAGACCCCCACUUUGUGGGAAUACAGUGGGUUUUUUGUUGUUGUUAUCAAAAUUGGGGAAGACUGAUUGUAAAUAAAGCAUCAUCGUCACAUUUUUCUUCUUAUUGCUUGAUAUCAACAGUUAUGCCAUAAUUUCAAGCAACAUAAGUUGGCUAUAUGACUUCAUAUUGUCUAUUUUGCUCCUUUUAAUACUGUUGAUUAAGUUGGUCUUUUAUCUAUCGUGUUUCUAUUUUGUUAUAUUACUCUUGGUACUUUGAAGCUUGUUGAGAUAGUUAACAGAGUAUUUUGCUGAAAUUCUGAAUUUUGUUUUUGUAUUUAUAAUAGUAUGCAAUUUUUGGGGUAUAAUCAAUAUAUAUAUAUUUUUUAACUGAAAGACUUCAGUAUCUUCAGAUAUAGAGGUUUAAGAACAUGUUUGGUUUGGCUUAUUUUAGGUGGUUUUAUGCUAAAAUAGGUUUUAAACAGUUUGUAGUGUUUGGGUAAAAUAAAAAAGCGCUUAACUCUGCUUUUUAGUCUAGUUACCAAGUUACUUCUAGCUAAAUUCCAAGAAUAGUCUCUUCUUUUCUAUUUGCAUAGAGAAAUUGGUAAUGGAGUGUGGGACUACUGGUUUAUGCCUUUUACCAAGCAAGUUACCUCUGUUCAUCAUGGUUCUAAUUCUCCUCUUAUACAUAUUAUCAUUGAUAAAGCAAAAUUAUGACUUUAGUGCUUCUUGUUUUUCUCGUUUGUAGGUAGACAUUGCUUGCAAGAAGUUAAAGAAAAUGAGUGAGCUUAGUGAAGGCUACAACAUAAUCGGGAUCUGCCAGUUUCAAAUAACAAGCGUUGGAGACAUGAAGUCUAUAGAGAGUCCGGCUAUCUUGAGAGAGACAUGGUCAGCAGAGGGGUUAUUGAGUUUUGUGAUGGUGGACCUCUAGUGAGGAGUCUUGUAUCUCUAGCUGGUCCUCAUGCUGGGAUAGCUUCUGUUCCCUUUUGUGGUUCAGGUAUCUGGUGCAUUCUUGCAGACUCUUUGCUCAAGUUAUUUCCUUCCGAUUAAAUGGUGUCCUUUAAUUCAAUUCCAAGCACACCUUGCUCCCACACGUUACAUUAAAAUCCCUACUCUUCUGAGACCAAAGUUGUAAGAGAUUAAAGAUGGGAUGCAAAAUAGGGGUAUGGCACCAGCGGCAGUUGCUGAUGGUCAAAAAAAAAUGCAAGAAUUAAUGAGGGAGAUGGGAAGAUUGUGAGUGAAUGGUUUCACCCAAAAGCUUAUCCUUCGGUUUAUGCAGUUGCUUUGGUCGAGAUGCAUUUGGAAGGCGAAGCUUUCUUGUUCACUGGCCCACGAAGGAGGACCCUCAAUUUCUGCUAUCUUUUGUGUCACCACUUGCCUCUGUAAAUGAAAGUUCUGAUGGAGGCCAAAUAGCCAAAACAGGCUUCUGGGAAGAACUUCCAUUCAGUGUAUAUAGUUUGUCUAAUGGUGCUUUAGGAAUGGAUGAAGGUUUAAUUGGCGAAGUUUUGAAGCAUGCCUGGAGGAGUUAAAUCACUUGCGAGAGAACUUCUAUCCAACCAAAACCCGAGGACUUGUGUGCUUCACACCAAAAGGUUUAUUGCAGGAAAGAGGAAUUGCCUUUAACUCCUUCCAAUCUGAUGGAACCUAAGUUAGGUCAAUAUCAUCACAUAGUUAUGUUGUUAAUACCAUUCAUUUCAUGUUUGGUGAAUGUAGUAAUUGUGAUUGAACAUUCUGUCGGAGUCUAAAUUGAUUGCAGUCUUCUUCUAAUGUCAAAAUAAUGUCAUUUCAAUUCCGAUCAGAAUAAUCAUUUUUCAAUUAGAAAUUACGUACUAACA